UUUUAUGUUUCUGUCAUAUUUAUUCUUUUAAUUUGUCCGUUUUUUUCAUCUUUUCUUAAAAAAAAAAAACCCACCUCAAUAACAAGGUAGCAUUUUCUUACAUCCUUUGUCCUUCCCUUACCAAUGUCCAUCAUGUUGCUAUCAUCUAGUUAAUUUUCUUUCAGUACCUUAUUGAAUAAUGUACAUAUAACAUGCACAAUUUUAAAGACAUUUUACAUAUGCAUACACCUGUGUUACCAUAACCUGAAUCAAGGCAUAGAACAUUAUAAAUCAAGGUAUAGAAGACAUACGGUUGCUUUGUACCUUUGGGUCAAUACUCCACCUCUAAGUUACCGUUAUUAUGAUUUCUGUCACCAGAGAUUAGUUUUGUCUGUUAUUGAACCUCAUAUAAAUGAAGUACGUAUAAACUUUAACGUCAAGCUUUUGAUCAGUUUCUGAUGUUUAUACAUAAUGUUAUACAAAAUUUCUCAGCAUUUUAUUUUUCAUUGUUGAACAGUAUUUCGUUGCUUAAAUAUAUUGCAAUUUAUCUAUCCAUUCUUUUAUCGAUAGGCAUUUGGGUUGUUUCCCAAAUCUGGGGCUUGGGACUAUUAUAGUAUCAUUUCUAUUUAGUAUACAUCUAAUUCUCAGAGAUUUCCUCAAUCUUGUUUUCUAAUUCAUUAAUUCAUAACUCAACUGUAUCUAUUCUUAGUUCUACCUAUUGUAGUCUUUCAACUUUUAUAUUUGUUGCACAUAUUUUCUGCUCUUUUUAUGUUUUCUUGUUUGGGGUUCAUAUUUUUAAUUUCUUUCUUCAUCUCUUUCAAUGACUUUGACUAAUUUUAAAUUUUUGUUUCAUCUGUUUUAAUGUUUCUGCUUCUUUUUGAAAACCUACUUUCAGCAUGUUGUUUUCCUCAAAUGUCCUGUUAUUUUGCCCGAUAAGUUCAUUUUCCUCUGGAGUAUCAGGCAGGUACAGUGGAAGGCCAGCCCUUAGUUGCAUGAGUCCAAGACAGAUCAAGGGGUGCAUAAGCCUAUAAUGGAUAACUAGAUCUAGGCUUCAAUCAGUCACUCCCGACUCCCAAAGCACCUUCUUCUCUGUCAGGUCCUCGCCCUUUGCUCCCCCAAUGAGAAGCAUUAGGAAGAAAUGUUUUGAGACUGUAGUGCCUAUGUCUGUGGGGGACUGAAGUGGCAGAGAAUAGAAGAGCCUAACGGAGAUCAGGGAGACCCACCCUUUUUCCCAGCUCCUCACAAGCACAGAGGUUGUGUUGCUGCCCAGAGUUUGCUCAUGAGCACACUUGGACCAGAAAUCUAAACUGCCAGGGGCAGGCACUGUUUUCCCCAAGGCAAUGGAUGGGAGAAGUAAGAACAGCUCCCACUACUGCCUACCUCCCUUACACCUGUCUUCCCUCUCAUAGUCUUGCUGGGCUGUCUGCAGCCCCCGAACAAAAGAUACAUCCCCCACCCCCAACACAGCAGUUCCAACAGCUCCCCCAUGACUCAGUUGGUUUCUUACAAUUCUCUCUCCAUCCUAAAGGAAAUUUUGGGAGCGGGAUCAGCAGUCCUGACAGGUCAACGUCUUGGUCAGCACUAGCCCCAUCUCCCUAACCACUUCGAGGCUUUAAAUCAUACCUAGCUCAUGCUAUACAUGUUGGAUCUACCAAUUGUGAAUCAUACUUUGUAUUUAGAGCUUCUUAAUUUGGGUCAAAACUCAGAAUCACCAAAUGAGAGAUGCAGUAUCCUCAUUCUUCCACAUAGCAGCUGCUGCUAAGAAAGAUUUAAAGUGAUACAAUGAGAGAUGUUAUUCCCUAUUGUGAUGGUACCAAGAGAAUAUGCAUUUCCACCAGUUUUCAUUAAGUCAAGUUACUACGUUCCCUUUCAGCCUUUACUGCUGCCCCCUCCUCUCUUUCUGUGCAAAGAAAAUACUGUCACAUUUAUUUUAGUCAAAGUCAAGUUCUUACAGUGCCUGCUGCUGCACACUAAGAAGCAGGGCCUGGAAGGAAGCUGACAGGUGAUCUGUUGAUUUGUACCUUUCACACAGCAUGGGUAAUGCAAAUUGCCUGCUUCUGUUUUCCCACACUGCUGGAGUCGCAGCUUACACAUUUUUCAGAAUUUACUGUUGUUUCAAAAAGCUGAUGCCUACACUCUAUUCCCCAAAAGAAUGUACAAGUAAGAUUCCUAGUUAAAAAAAAAAAAAAAAGAUCCUUAAAGUUUAGAUUGGCAUCUGUUUCAUGUGGGUGCUAGUUUUCAAAUCCUAGCAAAAAU
rnacentral:lncRNA from 1 species